rnacentral:sRNA from 1 species
GCUGGGUGUGGAGGUGCACACCUGUAAUCUCAGUGGCUUGGCAGGCUGAGGCAGGAGGAUCACAAGUUCAAAGCCAGCCUCAGCAAUUUAGCCAGGCCCUAAAGAAUUUAGUGAGACCCCUGUCUCUA